GAGAGCCGCAGCUUUGCUUCCCUGGGGAAGGGCUGACGUCCUCCGGGCGCCACUGCCCGCUUGGCGAAAUGCCUGGGGGCUGCCUAGAUCCCCGAGGCGGCGAGGUCUGGCCUCAUCCUCCUGGUGGGGAGACGGAAGGCACGCCCCCACUCCUCCCACGCCAGCCCCAGCGAGCACGCUCCCCCACCGCUCGCGGCUCCCCGGCCCGGAGUGUUUUCACUCGCGCCGCCGCCGAGGAGCCGCAGGCCCUCCCCGCCCCGCUUCCUCGUAUCACUAGCGCUGGUCGGCCGCUGGGGGCGCUGUGCGGACUGACGAGGACCGCCCCCUCUUCCUCCCUCUCCUCCGCCUCCUCCCUCUCCUCCGCCUCCUCCCUCUCCUCCGCCUCCUCCUCACUACAGUUCCCACUCUGGGUGGGAGCGAGCGCGUCCGGUUUGCAGGAACCUUUCGGAAAUGGCAACUUGCGCGAUGGAGGUGUUCGGGCUCCCGGAGGACGAGGAAAAUUCCCGAAUUGUGAGGGUAAAAGUUAUAGCUGGAAUAGGCCUUGCCAAAAAGGAUAUCUUGGGAGCUAGUGAUCCUUAUGUGCGAGUGACGUUAUAUGACCCAAUGAAUGGAAUUUUUACAAGUGUGCAAACGAAAACCAUUAAAAAGACUUUGAAUCCAAAAUGGAAUGAAGAAAUAUUAUUCAGAGUAAGUAUAAAGAUCAAGCAUAUUACUAAUACAGAAAAUCCAAGAAUGGAGAGACCAUAUACCUUUAAGGAUUUUGUUCUUCAUCCAAGAAGUCACAAAUCAAGAGUUAAAGGUUAUCUGAGAUUAAAAAUGACUUACUUACCUAAAACCAGUGGCUCAGAAGACGAUAACACAGAACAGGCUGAGGAAUUAGAGCCUGGCUGGGUAGUUUUGGACCAACCAGAUGCUGCUUGCCAUUUGCAGCAGCAACAGGAACCUUCUCCUCUACCUCCAGGGUGGGAAGAGAGACAGGAUAUCCUUGGAAGGACCUACUAUGUAAACCAUGAAUCUAGAAGAACACAGUGGAAAAGACCAACCCUUCAGGACAACCUAACAGAUAAUGGUAACAUUCAACUGCAAGCCCAGCGUGCAUUUACCACCAGGAGGCAGAUAUCUGAGGAAACAGAAAGUGUUGACAACCGAGAACCUUCUGAGAACUGGGAAAUUAUAAGAGAAGAUGAAGCCACCAUGUACGGCCAUCAAGCCUUCCCUUCAUCUCCACCAUCAAAUAACUUGGAUGUCCAGACUCAUCUUGCAGAAGAAUUGAAUGCCAGACUCACUGUUGGUGGAAAUUCAGCCACUGGCCAGCCAGUAUCCAACUCAAAUCAUUCCAGCAGAAGAGGCAGCUUGCAAGCCUAUACUUUUGAGGAACAGCCUACACUUCCUGUGCUUUUGCCUACUUCAUCUGGAUUACCACCAGGUUGGGAAGAAAAACAAGAUGAAAGAGGAAGAUCAUACUAUGUGGAUCACAAUUGCAGAACUACUACCUGGAUAAAGCCCACUGUACAGGAAGAUCCAAGACUGAAAAUUCCAGCUCAUCUGAGAGGAAAGACAUCACUUGAUUCUUCCAGUGACCUGGGGCCUUUACCUAAUAAAGAACCUCUUUUUUUCUCUCUUUCUUCAGAUAGUAAAAAAACACAAUGGGAAGACCCUCGUUUGCAGCAUGUAGCAAUAACUGGACCAGCAGUGCCCUACUCCAGGGAUUACAAAAGAAAGUAUGAGUUCUUCCGAAGAAAGUUGAAGAAGCAGAAUGACAUUCCAAACAAAUUUGAAAUGAAACUUCGCCGUGCAACUGUUCUUGAGGACUCUUACAGGAGGAUUAUGGGGGUCAAGAGAGCAGACUUCCUCAAGGCUAGACUGUGGAUUGAGUUUGACGGUGAAAAGGGACUAGAUUAUGGAGGAGUUGCCAGAGAAUGGUUCUUUCUUAUUUCAAAGGAAAUGUUUAACCCUUAUUAUGGGUUGUUCGAAUAUUCUGCUACGGAUAAUUAUACCCUACAGAUAAAUCCCAAUUCUGGACUGUGUAAUGAAGAUCACCUCUCUUACUUCAAGUUUAUUGGUCGGGUAGCUGGGAUGGCAGUGUAUCAUGGCAAACUGUUGGAUGAUAUCUUCUUUCUUGAAUAUUACAAUUCAUUAAGAUGGAUUCUUGAAAAUGAUCCAACAGAAUUGGACCUCAGGUUUGUCAUAGAUGAAGAACUUUUUGGACAGACACAUCAACAUGAGUUGAAAAGUGGUGGAUCAGAAAUAGUUGUCACCAAUAAGAACAAAAAGGAAUAUAUUUAUCUUGUAAUACAAUGGCGAUUUGUAAACCGAAUCCAGAAGCAAAUGGCUGCUUUUAAAGAGGGAUUUUUUGAACUGAUACCGCAGGAUCUCAUCAAAAUUUUUGAUGAAAAUGAACUAGAGCUUCUGAUGUGUGGCUUGGGAGAUGUGGAUGUGAAUGACUGGAGAGAACACACAAAGUACAAAAAUGGCUACAGCAUAAAUCAUCAAGUCAUCCAGUGGUUUUGGAAGGCUGUUUUAAUGAUGGACUCAGAAAAAAGAAUACGACUACUUCAGUUUGUCACUGGCACAUCACGUGUGCCUAUGAAUGGAUUUGCUGAACUGUAUGGCUCAAACGGACCACAGUCAUUUACAGUUGAGCAGUGGGGCACACCUGAGAAGCUGCCAAGAGCUCAUACCUGCUUUAAUCGCCUGGACUUGCCACCCUAUGAAUCAUUUGAAGAAUUAUGGGAUAAACUUCAGAUGGCCAUUGAGAACACUCAGGGUUUUGAUGGCGUGGAUUAGAUUUUAAGUAGCCGUUUAUGGUGUUUUACUGCCACUUUUUUUUUAAAGCAAAAUCUUGACUUAAAAUUUUCCAGGGAACUACUAAUCCUUGGCCAUUGAUGCUUCUCAGAUAUUGGAGAAAAUCGUGUCAACGAAUUAGAAGAGCUAGGAUGACAACGCUUCCAUUAUUUCAUUCAUUUUAGUAAUGUGUUGCAUUUACAUAGUUGUUUCGUUCUAUUUUGAGUUCACACCCAAGGAUUUAAGUCCUGUGUGCCUGAAAACGUGAGAUUUAUCCUUGGAUUUACCUCUUUUACAGUAUUUGCCAGGCAGUUCUUUCUUAAACUACUGAAAUGAUAACUGUGAAUACCUGUGAUAAGUGACAUGUGUGAAAAGUAUGAUUUUUUUGAGAAGGAGAACUGAAAUUUGGGGUAAAAAACUUCAAUACUGAGUACACGACAAUAUAUUCAAUGCUGCCUGCAGCUAGUUAUUAUUUUUUAGACCUGCCUACCGCACGGGCAGUAGCAGGUUUUUGGAAGAAUCUUGCAAAGUGUGUUACCUAUAUUUUCAGUCAACUGAUUCACUUACAAAAAGCUGUCUACUUCUUCAUUUUAAAAGUAUUUGGCUUUUGUUAGUAUGCGGUUUUACUAAACAAGGUAGUUCAUAGGACAUGUGAAGCAAAUUCAGAUUUGCAAAGGUUGAAAGGUAUCAGUGCCUCCCUCUUGCCUGUAUAUCCUAUGGCUCAUUGAUAGAGCCAUUACUCUUUACUGUUUUCAUUUAGUUAAAAGAAUUCCUUCUUCAAACUAAAGCUUGACAAAGCAGUAUUCCUAAAUAUGCCUUGAAGAACUAAGUUAAAUGUAUAAUACUUGCCUUUACUAGUCAUUCUUUACACUUGCACAAUUAUGUAGUCCUUACAUGUUUACAGGGUUUAUUAUGUUUACAGAUUAAGCUAAUUUCUGUAGUUGCAUUUUUAUAUUUUUAGUAUUUCACUUUAGUCAAACCAAAUAAUUUGUUAAAAAUUACCAAAGAAUAGUUACAGUGCAUCAUUUGUAUUAAAUUUAUUACCAUGUUUCUUAUGCUUUUUAAAAAACUGUUUACUAUGAAAAUAUUUUGCUAUAAAUCCAAAACUCUAGGCAAAAUGCUAGAGAUAGACUUCUACUUUAGCUAAAUAGAAGUACAUAAAAAUCCUGUGCGUGCAUUCAACAAAGGUUUACUGAAUGCCUGUGAUAUGCAUAGCUCUGUCUAGGCCAAAGGGUGAGAGUUGUCAGCUUCAAAGAAAUCCAUCCCCAUCCUCAAGGAACUUAGAGAUGUGUAAAGGAAUUUUGAAACAAUCAAAAGUCAGGGUGAGCAGAAUAAGGCAAAAGGGAAAGUGUUCCAGUGCACCUGCAAAGGUAAAGUGUGCCAAGGCUGUAUUUAUAUAUUUUAUACCUAUAUUGGAAUGAUUGUAUAGAAAAAUGCUCUUGAAAAAAGUUAAAGCUAUUUCUCAAUAUGGUAUUUUGGUGAUUUAGGGAUAAUUGUAAAUAUAUGUUAUGUCUUCUCAAAUACACACACACACACACUCCAAGAGGUGUAAAAAAGUANUUCUCAAAUACACACACACACACACACUCCAAGAGGUGUAAAAAAGUAUAUCUGGCUGUUGGUUACAGUUUGCUGGGGUCUAAUACCAUGUGUACUUUUCAGCACCUGGUAGGGAUCUCAUAAGUGACAGAAGCGAAGCCACUUUCCAAACAUCACAUCAGCAGCCCAGCUUAGAGAAAGUAAUUCACAGAUCCAUGUACCCUCUGUCUUAUCUUCUUCUGUGUUAACCAGCAUUCAGGGGAAACACCCUGCUUUUAUCACUUACCAAAUGUUUAAACCGAAGCAACAUACUUCACCUCUCUGGGUUCCUGGUUCUUCAUCUGUCAAAGGAAAAUAACUAUGUAUGCAUGCUCUCAUUGUAAGAUNNNNNNNNNNNNNNNNNNNNNNNNNNNNNNNNNNNNNNNNNNNNNNNNNNNNNNNNNNNNNNNNNNNNNNNNNNNNNNNNNNNNNNNNNNNNNNNNNNNNNNNNNNNNNNNNNNNNNNNNNNNNNNNNNNNNNNNNNNNNNNNNNNNNNNNNNNNNNNNNNNNNNNNNNNNNNNNNNNNNNNNNACAAAUCUAUGUAUACAUAUUUUUAUCUGUAUAUGGAUCUUACCAUCAGAAUUCAUUUUCUCCACAUGAGCAAAGUAAUGUUAAGAUGGGCCAAUGCAUUUUGGAAUGUUCUCAUUAUGUAGAACUGAACGUGAAAACUGCUUUUGUUAAAAAUGGAUUUUACCACAUGAUUGUUUAAAUAUCACUUCUGUCAAAUAUGGCAGAUUUCAGAGCUUGAGAAAAUAUAUAGCUUGCUUUUCAUCUGACUCAUUCACUUGGAUGAUUCUGUGACUCAGAUAAAACAGCGUAUUAAUAAGACCAGACACUCCCACCAGCACCCAGCCACAGACCAGCAUCUGCUUCAUUUUCCAGGUAUGCAGUGAUGGUCUGAAAGGACCCUGUAUUAAGCAACACAGCCCCUCAUCCCAAAUAGCAAAGUAUCUCAAAACACAUUCUACAGCUGGAAGUAAAUAGGGUCAUUUUCUUAGAGCAAGGAUGUCAUAUUUUUUUAGAACUUAUAAGCACAUAAUUUUAGCCUAUAUUUUCUCUGUAAUCAAAUUUUGACGGACAUAAAAUUGUAUUACAAAUGCAUUUCAUCCUAAUUUAAAGGUUUUAACUGUUUUUGUUUCUUAUUUAUAAUCUGAAAUUCCAGAGAAUUAUCAAGUCAAACAACUCUUUUGAAUUAUAAGCCACUUGAUAUUGUUUUCUAAAAUCUUCUGAUAUGGGAAAAUAUUACCAAGAUUAAUGUAUCAAAUUUUAUUGUAUACUUUAAAAUAUAAAACCAUUUUUAAAAAUCUGAUACCAUAAAUAAAGUUCUAUUCUAGCAAAACCA
ensembl:lncRNA